rnacentral:miRNA from 1 species
UGUGACCUUGCCAUACAUGUUC